GUGGGCUGCACAGGGGAAGGAAGCAAUGGACGAGGAAGGAGGGACCACUGAAGAGGAGGGCCACAAAAAUCCCCUUCCUCUGUGCGGGUCCUGGUGUCGCUCGGCCUCCUGGCGCGGCUCAUAAAUGGAAGAAAUUGUUGAGCAGGUAAAUGGCAAAGUAGAUGAGAAGGCAGAGGACGGAGAGCGCCAGCAAAUGAAAAGAAAAAGCGCCUCCCAGCAGCGCGAUGAGGAAGAAAAAGAAGAGAAAACGAAAGAUAAAAGCAAAUACUCCAGUGGCCUCCGUCGUCUCCAGCUUGGAAGCGGGUGGUGGGGAUCGGCUACGGCCAGUUGUUCCCCUUCCCCGGCUGCCUUCUGCUCACCCCCAGAAAAACCUUCCCGUCCAGAAGAAGCAUGGGCACGGAUGUUCCUCCGGUUCCCCCCCCCACCCCCCCGGACUCGGUCCCUCAACUCUGCUCGGACUCACACAGGUGACAGGAGAGAGGUACUGCCGCGCCCAGCAGGAGGCGCUGCACGCCUCGCAAACCUACCUGUGUCUGCUGGCGUCCACCAGGAACCACCGGGCCCUGCACGACCUUUACCACGCCAAGGGAGAGCGCAGCACCCGGGAGGCGGCCGGCCUGGUGGGGCUCAGGUUGCCCACUCAGCCCGGAGGCAAAGGCUGGGAGAAGUGAGCCACGGCGAGGGGGGGAAAAAGGGACAACAAAGCAGUGGACUGCACCUGCUAAGCUGCGGGAAGAAAUACAAUUUUGUCGCGCUCUACCUUCCACAUUUUUCAUCCGAUUAAAAGCGUUCCAACUUCAAACUGUUCAGCCUAUCCGGGAAUGGCGGGCUUUCCCCCUGACAAAUUACAAAAACUCCUAGAUUUCCCAGAAUUCCAGGUUUUCCGGGAGAUUUUUCCCAUUCAAAAUUAAUUGGCCAUUUUUCAAACUUCAACCAUUUCUACAAUUUUCAACCGAUUCAAACAAUUCCACCUUCAACAUAUUCCACUCAUCCUGGAAAUUCAAACUACCCUUUUUCCAAGUUCAAAAAAAUCCAGGAUUUUCCAGAAUUCCUGUUUUUCUUAAGCCCUAUUUCCACCUCCUUCCACAUUUUUCAACCGUUCCACCGUCAGAACAUUCCUCUUAAUUAGACAAAAUACGAAGUUGUUUUUUGAACUGAAAAAAUUCCAGGUUUUCCCAAAAUUCCGUAAUACCAUUUCUCACUUCAACAUUUCUCGACCGAUUUGAAAAAUUCCAACACCAGACCAUUCAAGAUUUUUACCAUUUUCAAAUUUCUCCUGAAAGUCCCACAUUUUGGGGAAAUUCCCCUUGAAGUCAAGGAGACAUUCUUCAAAUUUCCACAUUUUUCAUCUGAUUCAAACUGUUCCAACUUCAAAAUAUUCAGCUUGUUCAUGAAUGAUGUGCUCUACUUCAACAAUUCAAAAAAAAUAAUCCCGGAUUUCCCAUAUUUGCUUUUAUUUUUUCAUUUUUCCCAUUCAAAAUUAAUUGGCCAUUUUUCAAACUUCAACCAUUUCUACAAUUUUCAACCGAUUCAAACAAUUCCACCUUCAACAUAUUCCACUCAUCCUGUAAAUUCAUACUACCUUUUUCCAAAUUAAAAAAAAUCCAGGAUUUUCCAGAAUUCCUGAUUUUCUUAAGCCCUAUUUCCACCUCCUUCCACAUUUUUCAACCGUUCCACCGUCAAAACAUUCCUCUUAAUUAGACAAAAAACCAAGUUGUUUUUUGAACUGGAAAAAUUCCCGGUUUUCCCAAAAUUCCGUAAUACCAUUUCUCACUUCAACAUUUCUCGACCGAUUUGAAAAAUUCCAACACCAGACCAUUCAAGAUUUUUACCAUUUUCAAAUUUCUCCUGAAAGUCUCACAUUUUGGGGAAAUUCCCCUUGAAGUCAAGGAGACAUUCUUCAAAUUUCCACAUUUUUCAUCUGAUUCAAACUGUUCCAACUUCAAAAUAUUCAUCUUGUUCAUGAAUGAUGUGCUCUACUUCAACAAUUCAAAAAAAAUAAUCCCGGAUUUCCCAUAUUUGCUUUUAUUUUUUCAUUUUUCCCAUUCAAAAUUGGUUGGCCAUUUUUCAAACUUCCACCAUUUCUACAUUUUUCAACCAAUUCAAACCAUUCCACCUUCAACAUAUUCCACUCAUUCCGGAAAUUUAAACUACCCUUUUUCCAAGUUCAAAAAAAUUCCAGGAUUUUCCAGAAUUCCUGUUUUUUUUAAAGCCCGAUUUCCACACUUUU